rnacentral:rRNA from 1 species
GAUCCUACGGGGGGCAGCAGUGGGGAAUAUUGCACAAUGGGGGAAACCCUGAUGCAGCAACGCCGCGUGAGUGAGGAAGUAUUUCGGUAUGUAAAGCUCUAUCAGCAGGGAAUAGAAAAGAAGGUACCUGAAAAAGAAGCCCCGGCUAACUACGUGCCAGCAGCCGCGGUAAUACGUAGGGGGCAAGCGUUAUCCGGAUUUACUGGGUGUAAAGGGAGCGUAGGCGGUCCGGAAAGUCAGCGGUAAAAGCCCGGGGCUCAACCCCGGCGAGCCGUUGAAACUGUCGGACUAGAGACGGCGAGAAG